rnacentral:rRNA from 1 species
GACAGAGGGUGCAAACGUUGUUCGGAAUUACUGGGCGUAAAGCGCACGUAGGCGGCUAUUCAAGUCGGGGGUGAAAGCCCGGGGCUCAACCCCGGAACUGCCCUCGAAACUAGGCAGCUAGAAUCUUGGAGAGGCGAGUGGAAUUCCGAGUGUAGAGGUGAAAUUCGUAGAUAUUCGGAAGAACACCAGUGGCGAAGGCGACUCGCUGGACAAGUAUUGACGCUGAGGUGCGAAAGCGUGGGGAGCAAACAGG